rnacentral:rRNA from 1 species
UACGGAGGGGGCUAGCGUUGUUCGGAAUUACUGGGCGUAAAGCGCACGUAGGCGGCUUUGUAAGUUAGAGGUGAAAGCCCGGAGCUCAACUCCGGAACUGCCUUUAAGACUGCAUCGCUAGAACGUUGGAGAGGUAAGUGGAAUUCCGAGUGUAGAGGUGAAAUUCGUAGAUAUUCGGAAGAACACCAGUGGCGAAGGCGACUUACUGGACAAAUGUUGACGCUGAGGUGCGAAAGCGUGGGGAGCAAACAGG